UACGGGGGGGGCAAGCGUUGUUCGGAAUUACUGGGCGUAAAGCGCGCGUAGGCGGACCUGCAAGUCGGGGGGGAAAGCCCGAGGCUCAACCUCGGAACUGCCUUCGAUACUGCGGGUCUCGAGUCCGGGAGAGGUGAGUGGAAUUCCUAGUGUAGAGGUGAAAUUCGUAGAUAUUAGGAAGAACACCAGUGGCGAAGGCGGCUCACUGGCCCGGUACUGACGCUGAGGCGCGAAAGCGUGGGGAGCAAACAGG
rnacentral:rRNA from 1 species